UUAAGUUAUUAAGGGCGCACGGUGGAUGCCUUGGCACUAGAAGCCGAUGAAGGACGUUACUAACGACGAUAUGCUUUGGGGAGCUGUAAGUAAGCUUUGAUCCAGAGAUUUCCGAAUGGGGAAACCCAGCAUGAGUUAUGUCAUGUUAUCGAUAUGUGAAUACAUAGCAUAUCAGAAGGCACACCCGGAGAACUGAAACAUCUUAGUACCCGGAGGAAGAGAAAGAAAAUUCGAUUCCCUUAGUAGCGGCGAGCGAAACGGGAAGAGCCCAAACCAACAAGCUUGCUUGUUGGGGUUGUAGGACACUCUAUACGUAGUUACAAAGGACGACAUUAGACGAAUCAUCUGGAAAGAUGAAUCAAAGAAGGUAAUAAUCCUGUAGUCGAAAAUGUUGUCUCUCUUGAGUGGAUCCUGAGUACGACGGAGCACGUGAAAUUCCGUCGGAAUCUGGGAGGACCAUCUCCUAAGGCUAAAUAAUCUCUAGUGACCGAUAGUGAACCAGUACCGUGAGGGAAAGGUGAAAAGCACCCCGGAAGGGGAGUGAAAUAGAACCUGAAACCGUGUGCUUACAAGUAGUCAGAGCCCGUUAAUGGGUGAUGGCGUGCCUUUUGUAGAAUGAACCGGCGAGUUACGAUUUGAUGCAAGGUUAAGCAGUAAAUGUGGAGCCGUAGCGAAAGCGAGUCUGAAUAGGGCGUUUAGUAUUUGGUCGUAGACCCGAAACCAGGUGAUCUACCCUUGGUCAGGUUGAAGUUCAGGUAACACUGAAUGGAGGACCGAACCGACUUACGUUGAAAAGUGAGCGGAUGAACUGAGGGUAGCGGAGAAAUUCCAAUCGAACCUGGAGAUAGCUGGUUCUCUCCGAAAUAGCUUUAGGGCUAGCCUCAAGUGAUGAUUAUUGGAGGUAGAGCACUGUUUGGACGAGGGGCCCCUCUCGGGUUACCGAAUUCAGACAAACUCCGAAUGCCAAUUAAUUUAACUUGGGAGUCAGAACAUGGGUGAUAAGGUCCGUGUUCGAAAGGGAAACAGCCCAGACCACCAGCUAAGGUCCCAAAAUAUAUGUUAAGUGGAAAAGGAUGUGGCGUUGCCCAGACAACUAGGAUGUUGGCUUAGAAGCAGCCAUCAUUUAAAGAGUGCGUAAUAGCUCACUAGUCGAGUGACACUGCGCCGAAAAUGUACCGGGGCUAAACAUAUUACCGAAGCUGUGGAUUGUCCUUUGGACAAUGGUAGGAGAGCGUUCUAAGGGCGUUGAAGCAUGAUCGUAAGGACAUGUGGAGCGCUUAGAAGUGAGAAUGCCGGUGUGAGUAGCGAAAGACGGGUGAGAAUCCCGUCCACCGAUUGACUAAGGUUUCCAGAGGAAGGCUCGUCCGCUCUGGGUUAGUCGGGUCCUAAGCUGAGGCCGACAGGCGUAGGCGAUGGAUAACAGGUUGAUAUUCCUGUACCACCUAUAAUCGUUUUAAUCGAUGGGGGGACGCAGUAGGAUAGGCGAAGCGUGCGAUUGGAUUGCACGUCUAAGCAGUAAGGCUGAGUAUUAGGCAAAUCCGGUACUCGUUAAGGCUGAGCUGUGAUGGGGAGAAGACAUUGUGUCUUCGAGUCGUUGAUUUCACACUGCCGAGAAAAGCCUCUAGAUAGAAAAUAGGUGCCCGUACCGCAAACCGACACAGGUAGUCAAGAUGAGAAUUCUAAGGUGAGCGAGCGAACUCUCGUUAAGGAACUCGGCAAAAUGACCCCGUAACUUCGGGAGAAGGGGUGCUCUUUAGGGUUAACGCCCAGAAGAGCCGCAGUGAAUAGGCCCAAGCGACUGUUUAUCAAAAACACAGGUCUCUGCUAAACCGUAAGGUGAUGUAUAGGGGCUGACGCCUGCCCGGUGCUGGAAGGUUAAGAGGAGUGGUUAGCUUCUGCGAAGCUACGAAUCGAAGCCCCAGUAAACGGCGGCCGUAACUAUAACGGUCCUAAGGUAGCGAAAUUCCUUGUCGGGUAAGUUCCGACCCGCACGAAAGGCGUAACGAUUUGGGCACUGUCUCAACGAGAGACUCGGUGAAAUCAUAGUACCUGUGAAGAUGCAGGUUACCCGCGACAGGACGGAAAGACCCCGUGGAGCUUUACUGUAGCCUGAUAUUGAAAUUCGGCACAGCUUGUACAGGAUAGGUAGGAGCCUUUGAAACGUGAGCGCUAGCUUACGUGGAGGCGCUGGUGGGAUACUACCCUAGCUGUGUUGGCUUUCUAACCCGCACCACUUAUCGUGGUGGGAGACAGUGUCAGGCGGGCAGUUUGACUGGGGCGGUCGCCUCCUAAAAGGUAACGGAGGCGCUCAAAGGUUCCCUCAGAAUGGUUGGAAAUCAUUCAUAGAGUGUAAAGGCAUAAGGGAGCUUGACUGCGAGACCUACAAGUCGAGCAGGGUCGAAAGACGGACUUAGUGAUCCGGUGGUUCCGCAUGGAAGGGCCAUCGCUCAACGGAUAAAAGCUACCCCGGGGAUAACAGGCUUAUCUCCCCCAAGAGUUCACAUCGACGGGGAGGUUUGGCACCUCGAUGUCGGCUCAUCGCAUCCUGGGGCUGUAGUCGGUCCCAAGGGUUGGGCUGUUCGCCCAUUAAAGCGGUACGCGAGCUGGGUUCAGAACGUCGUGAGACAGUUCGGUCCCUAUCCGUCGUGGGCGUAGGAAAUUUGAGAGGAGCUGUCCUUAGUACGAGAGGACCGGGAUGGACAUACCUCUGGUGUACCAGUUGUCGUGCCAACGGCAUAGCUGGGUAGCUAUGUGUGGACGGGAUAAGUGCUGAAAGCAUCUAAGCAUGAAGCCCCCCUCAAGAUGAGAUUUCCCAACUUCGGUUAUAAGAUCCCUCAAAGAUGAUGAGGUUAAUAGGUUCGAGGUGGAAGCAUGGUGACAUGUGGAGCUGACGAAUACUAAUCGAUCGAAGACUUAAUCAA
rnacentral:rRNA from 1 species